GGGAAUUUUUGCAAUUUGCCAAGGGUCUAUAAAUAGAGAGUCGGCUAUUUUAAUCCGCACUCCACUUACCCUGAUUUUGCUUAAACCCUAAUCCUUUUCUAAGUCGCCGAGCUUCUUCAUAACUCGCCGACUUUCAUCACAAUCACCAGUACUCUUUCCAAAGUCGCCGAGUCUACACCUACAUCGCCGACAUAUGGCAAACCAACCGUCACUACCUAGACUUACCAUGUCGGAGACCGAGGCUCUGGU
rnacentral:lncRNA from 1 species